rnacentral:lncRNA from 10 species
UGCUAUUAUUAAAAUCAUCUGAGACCAGGCAUAGAGAAAAGGCCAUAUGAGUACACAGCCAGAAGGUGUCUGCCUACAAGACAAAGAGGGAAAACUUACCUGAAACCAACCCUGAUGGAUAUUGGAUUUCUAAGCUCCAGAACUGUGAGAAAAUUAAUUUUAUGUGCUUUAAGACACUCAAUUUGUGGUAUUCUGUUAUGGCAGCCUAUGCU